rnacentral:lncRNA from 1 species
CGUAGCUCUCGAAUUGGGAGAGCUUGAAGUUCGGCGGGAUUGGUUCCUGCAUGAUCAUUUGAGAGAAAGGAGGGUCAGUGCAGAUGUCCUCACCGUAAGCAGCGGGAGCACGGCGGAGCUCUUCGAUCCGUCGGUUCAUCUCCUAGAAUCUCUGAUCCAGGAGGUCCUCUCGAUUGCGGGCCUCGAGGGUCUUCUGGUGGAGCAGAGGCAGGGACUCUCCGGGGGUUGA